rnacentral:tRNA from 3 species
GCCACCUUAGCUCAGCUGGUAGAGCAGCGGAUUUGUAACCCGCAGGUCGUCGGUUCGACUCCGACAGGUGGCUCCA